rnacentral:rRNA from 1 species
CAGUCGCCGCGGUAAUACGAAGGGGGCUAGCGUUGCUCGGAAUGACUGGGCGUAAAGGGCGCGUAGGCGGCGGCCAAAGUCAGGCGUGAAAUUCCUGGGCUCAACCUGGGGGCUGCGCUUGAUACUUGGUUGCUUGAGUGGGGAAGAGGGUCGUGGAAUUCCCAGUGUAGAGGUGAAAUUCGUAGAUAUUGGGAAGAACACCGGUGGCGAAGGCGGCGACCUGGUCCUUGACUGACGCUGAGGCGCGAAAGCGUGGGGAGCAAAUAGGAUUAGAUACCCCGGUAGUCCCUGUCUCUUAUAC